ensembl:lncRNA TAGAP-AS1 TAGAP antisense RNA 1
GCCGCCCUCUGCAGCUGAGUCAGUGCAGUUCCUCACCUACCUUCUCUGCUCACCGCUGUGUGCUAGCAAUCGGAGGACCCUUGGCACACGGAGCGACAGGGGCCUCCCCCACAGACACCUCAUUUUGGGAAAGAAGCUGUACAGGAGGCAUGGCUGGGGAGGCCUCAGAAAACUUACAAUCAUGGCAGAAGGUGAAGGGGAAGCCAGCACAUCUUCAUAUGAUGGCAGGAACUUUAUAUGUUAUAGAAGUUAGCCCCAAGAAUGAAAUCGUGUCCUUUGCCAAAACAUGGAUGGAGCUAGAGGCCUUUAUCCUAAAAGCUACAAAUCUUCAGCAUUCUCCACUCUGUGAAGUCAGAGGAAUGGCGGGACCAUAGCUCUGAGCUCAUUGGCAAAUACAACUAAUUUCAAUUUCUGGAAUGGAAGCAGUCAGAUAUUCUUCUGACUGCACGCGUAUGUGGGAGUGCCAUGUUGAAGAGUGGAAAAUAUGGAAGAUCAGUCCCUACAAACUUAAUAGGAGAAUGACAUUCAGAUUUCCCGAGUAUUUUGCAUGUCCAACUGAAAACUGAAGUAGGUUUAUGAGAGAAUGCACGCCUACCUGGAUGGGUCUGGGGAGUGUGUCACUGUCACCGCAGAUAAUUGACAAGGGCUGAUCAAAUAGCGAUGCUUUCAAGUCUGUCUCCAAAGCCCCAGAAAAAUCUGAUGCAGGGGAGAGCCUUCUCAUGAGAAAGGGCCAGGACAGCACCUUCUUUCUCUUCUUAACUUCUACAGCCAAGAAAACAAGGCAACGAGAAAAAUUAGACUACAGUGUUAAGAAGCAAAGAUCCAGGUGACUGGUCACCUUGGGUUUUCCAGGUUGCUGCUUUAGGACAGAGGCAAAUACGAAUCGCUGCGGGAAGCCUUGAACCUAGAUCUGGCAACUGGGAAUUAUCAGCAAAACGUUAUCAAGAUAUUCUGUCCUUCUGAAAUCCACAAGAUGUGUGUGCAAUGGAUAUUGCAAUCUCAAACAUUUCCUUCUUUCUUUUCUUUUCCUUCCUUCCUUCCUUCUCCUUUCUUACUAAUUAUAAAGGCUAUAUUUUCUAAAUGCAUUGGCAUCUGUUUCUAUACAUUUCAGAUUGGCAAGUGGAAGCAUGAUGAGAAAGAAGUGGCCUGUCUUUAUGGUUCAGGAGAACUGGGUCAGGGUUACGCUAUAAUGAAAUGCAUUAUGAAAAAAGUUGAGAGUGAAUGGUGGGUCCUUUGGGAUUUGAGAUCAGCAACAGUUGCUUCAUAGGCUCUUGGAUGCAUUCUCCAUAAGAGAAGGAAGAAAAUGGAAAAGACACUGUGUGUUUUUCAAAUGUGUGCAUGCUAAUUGUCGAAACAUACAUGGCCAGGAGAUUGAACCGCAUUAAAAACGCUUGGCAGAACUGGGGAUUCUCUAUGGAGAGGCUCUUUCCUUUCCCAGCACUCCCUGCUCUAGUGAGUUGGAGCAUACCUGCCAUUUAAGGGUUAAUGUUCUGCGGUCUUUAACAGAACAACUUAUACAAAAAAAUUCCUAGUAGAGUAAAAGCGCUGUGGUUUUGCAAACCAAGAGCACUGGUUGUUAGCACUUACAUAAAAGAUCGGUAUGUUUUUAAAACUCACCAAUGAGCUGGCAAAUACUGUCUUCACUCUCACAUGAUGCCAACAGGGGAUGUUCCUUGAUAUCACCCUAAAAACAUUUUUAUUUCAGUUAAAUAUAGUGACUGAAGAAACCUAUCGAGUCUUUCCCCACAAAACACACAUACAGCAUUUUAUUCAUAUUAAAAAUGAAGUCAGUAGAGUGCAUUGAUGUUUUUUCUAGCUUCUAGAAGCAAUAUUAAGGUCUUGAUUGUCAUCAUAUAAGAUCCUAAUUAAUGUGCUUAAUUUACUAC